GAGGUAAAGAACUUCCUCUUUCAACGCAUCUCAAAGUUUGGCGUGCAUGCAGAUCACCUGCAGAGUAUGAUUAUUCAUCUUUACAUUGCCUUGUUUUGAGAUGAUGAAACUGAGGUUCAAGCCAAUGACAGGCCUGAAGCUACAUGGCUACUGAGUGGUAGAGUCAGAACUCAAACCCAAAUCCAUCUGACCCCAAACUUCAUGUAUCUUGAACCACAGGCUCCAUCUCACUGUUCACACUCUCGCCCACCUCCACCCAUCAAAGGUGCCUCUAGACCUUUGCUUGUGUUGUUUGUUCUCUGCCUGACAUGCCUCCCCCUCAAUCACUCUCAGUUGAAACCUGGCUCAGUCAUCAAGUGCCUGCUCACCAGCAAGACCUCUUCUCUUCACGGAGCCUUUCUUGAGCCCCACGACUGGAAUUAACCUCUUCCUUCCAGGCCAGUUUGCUGGCGCCCCUAAUCCAGUUUCCCAACCUCAGCCCUACUGACACUGGGGCUAGAUAAUCUUUGUCGUGGGGGCUGUCCUGUGCACUGCAGGAUGUUGAGCAGUACCCCUGCUCUCCACCCACUAGAUGCCAUGGCACCCUCCUCAAGUUGCAACAACCAAAAUAUGUCUUCGGACAUUGCCACUGUCCCCUAGGGUACUAAAUCACCUCUAUGGAGAAUCACUGUCCUAAGCUACAAUACUCACUGCCCUCUGUUUUGAACCAUAAA